rnacentral:rRNA from 1 species
AACGAACGCUGGCGGCAGGCUUAACACAUGCAAGUUGAACGGGAUUUGAUGGUAACUUGCUAUCAUUAAUGAGAGUAGCGCACUGGUGAGUAACACGUGGGAACAUACCUUUUGGUGGGGGACAACAGAGGGAAACUUCUGCUAAUACCGCAUAAGCCCUGAGGGGGAAAGAUUUAUUGCCGAAAGAUUGGCCCGCGGAAGAUUAGGUAGUUGGUGGGGUAAAGGCCUACCAAGCCUACGAUCUAUAGCUGGUCUGAGAGGACGAUCAGCCACAUUGGAACUGAGACACGGUCCAGACUCCUACGGGAGGCAGCAGUGAGGAAUAUUGGGCAAUGGAGGAAACUCUGACCCAGCCAUGCCGCGUGAGUGAGAAGGUCUUCGGAUUGUAAAGCUCUUUUGUGCAGGAAGAUGAUGACAGUACUGCAAGAAAAGCACCGGCAAACUUCGUG